UGCAUCUUUUACGACGAAGGUUCCGAAAUUAGAUAAGAUAAUAAGGAUUUUUAUCUAAUAUUUUUUAUUUAGCAUUAAAAUUGGAUUUAUAUUUUUCUUCUUCUUUUCAUUCAAUUGGUCUUAAUGUUAAGGUUUUACUCAGUGAAUGAUUUAUCAACAACUGUUAUUCUAAUAUUACCAAAAGAUUUUUAAAAAUUAUAAUAAUAACUUGCACGACUUGUACAAAGCAAAGAAAUUCGCUGAUAUCGAUAUGAAAUUUUCAAAAAUGAUGUACGAUUAUGAGAGAGGAAGGUCUGGAAAAUAUUAUAGUAUAUUGGUUGGGAGGUUGAAAAAGUGGAUGAACGAGGCAAUGUCAGGGUAACACAGAAGAUAAAGAAAGAUUUAACAAUAAAUCAGUUUAUCCAAAAUAGAAAAAAGAAAAUUUGUAGAUUCGCUGUCAUUAAUCUUAAAUCUGUAAUUUAAAUAUGGACUAACAAUUAAACAGAAUUUCAAAUUUCGAUGGAUAAAAGAGCAGGAACUGCAGACACCUAUUCAACCGAUAAAAGUUUUUGGAAAACCUAUAAUCAAAUCGUUGGGAUAGGUUUGAGAAUCCGGGAUAAUAAUAACAAAUAAAAUGGAAAAUUAAUAUUCUUUGAAAAUUUCCCUAUUAAAGAAUCUCAAAUGUGCAUUACAAAUAAUUAUUAAAGAAGAUUUCGUCGAAAAUAAAGAGGAUUCUAUAUCUCUUCAAAGAAAUAGGACGCCACCCAAAGAGUAGAAAACAAAAGAUAAGAAGAACAAGAUAUUGGAAGAAUAACACGAGCAUCUUAACACACAUUGCAAGAUGAAACAAUAGCAACUGGAUUGCUAUAAAGGAGAGUCAGUUCUACGGGAACUGAAUAAGAGAACAAGACCUGAAAUCAGCAUAUUCGCAAGGAAACUGAGGAUAUGCUGCGUAGUCGUGGAACGUAAUAAUAAAUUUUAAUUCAAGUGGAAAUCUCUGCUGGCGUGGUAAGUCAAAUCCGCCAAAAAAUUUCUGAUUUGCCAGAAAUUGUUUCACGAACACUGCGAAAAGCUGGUCUUAGAGGGUGCACCAAAGUUAAGAGAGACACCAGAAAUUGCUAUUAGCAUUCGCAGAAAAAUAUAAAACCUGGGCUGAAAAUAACUGGACGAGUGUUGGAACCAAAAUAAAGCGCUUGUGAUCGGACGGCCGCGAAUGGAUGUAGAGGAAUUCUGGAGGGAAAAUACACCCAUAUCACGUAGAGCCCACACUGAAGUUUGCACCAGACUCAACUAUGGUAUACAACUGUAUGUGAAGAAUAGCCCCUUUUCUUCUGAGAGUGCCAGUAGAUGGAAGGCAGAAUGACAGCGGACUCUUGUAUUGGGCACAUUUAUUUUUCUCCAUUUGUUUGGCACCAUGGGAGAUUUGAGGAUUAUUCCUUCGGACAGUCUUUCAACCGAACAAUGAUCCGCAGCGGAUAACAAAAUCGACCACCAAAUGGCUCCAGGUGUUCGGAACAAAAACGUUAGGUUCGCCCCUCCAAUAUACAGAUCUAACCCCACCGAACACCUCCGGACUGUUUUAAAACGGUCGGUCACAUGGGAGUUGGGGAUACUAACCGAAGCGUGGCCAAAUGUGUAGGAUGAUAUAGGAAAUUUUUGAAAAGCUAGUUUGUAGUAUGACUACGGGAAUCCAGGACGUAAUAGAUUUCAGAGGAACAUAUCCAAAAUAUUAGCUUUCAUUUUUUCCACAUAGUCAUGUUAAGUCACAAA